rnacentral:rRNA from 1 species
GACGAACCGUGCGAACGUUGUUCGGAUUCACUGGGCUUAAAGGGCGCGUAGGCGGGUGUCCAAGUCUGGGGUGAAAUCCUUCGGCCCAACCGGAGAACAGCCUCGGAUACUGGAUGUCUCGAGGGGGGUAGGGGCACGCGGAACUUCCGGUGGAGCGGUGAAAUGCGUAGAUAUCAGGAGGAACACCGGUGGCGAAGGCGGGUCUCUGGGCCGAUACUGACGCUGAGGAGCGAAAGCGUGGGGAGCGAACAGG